AACCUCCUCAACCUAAGCUGGUUUGCAGUCGCCUUGGGCCAAGGUGUUUCCCUCAGAGGAGGUCAUUUUGAAGUGUAACAUUCAGCCGUCCUCGAAGGACUGGAGUUAUGACUGGUACAAAGAUGGACUAAAACAAACCCGUACAAUCAAGAAUCAAUUUAAAAUCAAAUCAGUGGAUCAGUCAAACAAUGGAAGUUACACUUGUAGAGGAAUUCACAAAAGACAAGUAAUAACUGCACACAGCAGUGGUAUUACAGUUUAUGUUUAUGAUGACAAAGCUGUGCCUACCUUAAGUCAGCACCCAAAUUACACCUCCGUCUAUGUGGAGGAGCAGGUGACCUUCAUGUGUGAAGUAGAGAUCGAUUCUACAGGCUGGGAGUAUCAGUGGUUCAAAAAGAAUCUUCAAGGGCCAAUCCCGAACACUGACCCAACAACAACGAAUUAUACAAUAAAGUCUGCUUCUGCAAAACAUGAAGACGAAUUUUGGUGUAGAGCUCAGAGAGGGGUAUAUCAGUCAGAACCCAGCGGGCCUAUACAAAUACAGGUUUUGUCUCGUCCUGAUACUGUGCUGACCCUGGAGACUGACUGGGCAGACAUUCUCACUGUGGAUAGUUUGACAUUACGGUGUGAUGUACAGGUCAAAGAUUUUGAAUGGAAUUACACUUGGUACAGAGACGGCAAUGAGAUGGCAGACAUCUCUGCAGAUGUUCAUGUGAAAUCCACCAAGGAAACGUAUCAGAGUGAAUACACGUGCCGAGGGGCCCGACUCCAGCGUCCGACAUAUUCAGCACUCAGUGAAGCUUUUAUAGCAAACAACAUUGUUCUGAAACGGAAAAUCCUUCUCUCCAUUUCGGGCUGUUUGGUUGUCGGCAUUGUCCUUAUUGUGCUGGGCUGUAUCAUUCUGAAGGUGACCCGGAAGCCAGGUGCGUAUAAUGGUUCGACUGCAGACUUAUGCGCAGCUGAAAGUGUUGAUAAACUUCAAACAACAGUUUACUAUUAUCCUUUAGACUGAGUCUGAAGAGCAUCCAUGUCUUGCUGAGGAGCUGCUGAAAGAAGCCAAAGAAAGCCAAAAUGAAAAGGAAACAGAUGGAUUCAUAUAAUUUAAAGCUUAGGCUUGUGACCAUAUCUGCCCUGUGAAUGUUCCAACCUCACAUCUCAUCCAAGAUGUCUAAUUCUCUAUGCCCGAAGGUAUAGCGUAUUAUAGCGUAUAAACAGCAGUAUUGCAGCUCUUGUGCAGAAACAAAUGCCAAUAGAACACACCUGAUUUGUUUCCACCAGUACACCAUCUCUCUUUUCAAGAUCUUGCAUUCAUGUAUUCAGAUCUUGCGAAAGGAUUUUUCAUACGUAAAUCAGAUUCUGUUUGAUGUUUGUAUGAAAGUCAGUGCCUUUGUGUUAUACUUUGUUUUAUACCAGUCAUUUUAGGGUAGAUUUGUCUUAUUAUAAGCUUCAUUUCAUUGUUCAAUACCUUACUUAACAUCUGUUUCUUUAUUUUAUAAUAUAUAUAGUUAUAUAUAUAUAUAUAUAACUUGUCAUCUUUGGGUUUUUUGGUGUGCGGAAUUGUUAGCUUCUUCCAACAGAGGCUCUACUCAAAGAUCAAGCCCUUUUAUAUAAUUUAACAAUUUUGAAAGUGGCUUGCCUCUUCACUGCCUAUUUUUAAAUCUUGUCUUAAAAUGUAUUUUUAUUCCUUGGCUUUUAACUCAGUAUGAGGGUAUGUAUGUUGUGUUUAAAUAUGUUGUGUUUUUUUAAUGUUGUUCUUAAAUAUGCUUUAGAAAUAAACCUGACCUUAUGAGUCAUUUUGCAAUAAUUACUUUGCGAGUGUUUUGUCUUUGUAGGUCUUAAUUGUAUUUCUUGUCAUACGGUAUAUUUAUGGUGGGUGUCAAAUAUGUGAUACAUCCUUUUGGUGGUAGCCUUUAAUAUUCAAUGUUCAUAUAAUGUCAACAUUGUUCACUGCACAAGUUCAACAUAGCAAUGUAUGUGGGCAUACAACUUGUAAAAAACGUCCUGCUACCUACCGGACA
ensembl:lncRNA